rnacentral:rRNA from 1 species
GCAUAUCAAUAAGCGGAGGAAAAGAAACCAACAGGGAUUACCUCAGUAACGGCGAGUGAAGCGGUAACAGCUCAAAUUUGAAAUCUGGCUCUUUCAGGGUCCGAGUUGUAAUUUGUAGACGAUGCUUUGGGUGUGGUGCCGGUCUAAGUUCCUUGGAACAGGACGUCAUAGAGGGUGAGAAUCCCGUAUGUGAUCGGUCGCCUUCGCCCGUGUAAAGCUCGUUCGACGAGUCGAGUUGUUUGGGAAUGCAGCUCAAAAUGGGUGGUAAAUUUCAUCUAAAGCUAAAUAUUGGCCAGAGACCGAUAGCGCACAAGUAGAGUGAUCGAAAGAUGAAAAGCACUUUGGAAAGAGAGUUAAACAGUACGUGAAAUUGUUGAAAGGGAAGCGCUUGCAACCAGACUUGGGCUGUCGCAAUCAUCCGGGGCUCGCCCCGGUGCACUUGUGGCGGCACAGGCCAGCAUCAGUUUCGGUGGUGGGAUAAAGGCCUUGGGAAUGUAGCUUCUUUCGGGGAGUGUUAUAGCCCUCGGUGCAAUGCCGCCUACCGGGACUGAGGACCGCGCUUCGGCUAGGAUGCUGGCGUAAUGGUUGUAAGCGACCCGUCUUGAAACACGGACCAAGGAGUCUAACAUCUAUGCGAGUGUUUGGGUGUCAAACCCAUACGCGUAAUGAAAGUGAACGGAGGUGAGAACCCGUUAGGGUGCAUCAUCGACCGAUCCUGAUGUCUUCGGAUGGAUUUGAGUAAGAGCAUAGCUGUUGGGACCCGAAAGAUGGUGAACUAUGCCUAAAUAGGGUGAAGCCAGAGGAAACUCUGGUGGAGGCUCGCAGCGGUUCUGACGUGCAAAUCGAUCGUCAAAUUUGGGUAUAGGGGGCGAAAGACUAAUCGAACCAUCUAGUAGCUGGUUCCUGCCG